UACGUAGGGUGCAAGCGUUAAUCGGAAUUACUGGGCGUAAAGCGUGCGCAGGCGGUUCUAUAAGACAGAUGUGAAAUCCCCGGGCUCAACCUGGGAACUGCAUUUGUGACUGUAGAGCUGGAGUACGGUAGAGGGGGAUGGAAUUCCGCGUGUAGCAGUGAAAUGCGUAGAUAUGCGGAGGAAUACCGAUGGCGAAGGCAAUCCCCUGGACCUGUACUGACGCUCAUGCACGAAAGCGUGGGGAGCAAACAGG
rnacentral:rRNA from 1 species